GCUGGCGGCGUGCCUAACACAUGCAAGUCGAACGAGAAAGUGGAGCAAUCCAUGAGUACAGUGGCGACCGGGUGAGUAACACGUGACUAACCUACCUUCGAGUGGGGGAUAACUCCGGGAAACCGGGGCUAAUACCGCAUAAGAUCCUGGAGCUGAAAUGCUUUGGGACCAAAGGAGCAAUUCGCUUGAAGAGGGGGUCGCGGCUGAUUAGCUAGUUGGCGGGGUAACGGCCCACCAAGGCGAUGAUCAGUAGCCGGCCUGAGAGGGCGCACGGCCACACUGGAACUGAAACACGGUCCAGACUCCUACGGGAGGCAGCAGUGGGGAAUUUUGCACAAUGGGGGAAACCCUGAUGCAGCAACGCCGCGUGGAGGAUGAAGCCCCUUGGGGCGUAAACUCCUUUCGAUCGGGACGAUAAUGACGGUACCGGAAGAAGAAGCACCGGCUAACUCUGUGCCAGCAGCCGCGGUAAUACAGAGGGUGCAAGCGUUGUUCGGAAUUAUUGGGCGUAAAGGGCGCGUAGCGGUGCGGUAAGUAUGCCGUGAAAUCUCUGGGCUCAACUCAAAGCUUGCA
rnacentral:rRNA from 1 species